rfam:Loxodonta africana unplaced genomic scaffold scaffold_8, whole genome shotgun sequence.
CACUUGGUGGCAUAGUGGUUAAGAGCUUUGGCUCCUAACCAAAAGGUUGGCAGUUCAAAUCCACCAGGUGC